rnacentral:rRNA from 1 species
GAUGAACGCUAGCGGCAGGCCUAAUACAUGCAAGUCGGACGGGAUUUGGGAGCUUGCUCCCAAUGAGAGUGGCGCACGGGUGCGUAACACGUAUGUAACCUACCUUAAUCAGGGGGAUAGCCUCUCGAAAGAGAGAUUAACACCGCAUAAUAUAUUUUUAUGGCAUCGUAGAAAUAUCAAAUAUUUAUAGGAUUAAGAUGGGCAUGCGGAACAUUAGCUAGUUGGUAAGGUAACGGCUUACCAAGGCGACGAUGUUUAGGGGAUCUGAGAGGAGAACCCCCCACACUGGAACUGAGACACGGACCAGACUCCUACGGGAGGCAGCAGUAAGGAAUAUUGGUCAAUGGGCGCAAGCCUGAACCAGCCAUGCAGCGUGGAGGAAGCCGGCCCUAUGGGUUGUAAACUGCUUUUGUACCGGAAUAAACCCUUUUACGUGUAAAAGGCUGAAUGUACGGUAAGAAUAAGGAUCGGCUAACUCCGUGCCAGCCGCCGCAGUAA